rnacentral:lncRNA from 1 species
CUGUCUAAACAGAACUAUGCAUCCCUCUUCCUGUGUGUGAGGAGGAGUGGCCGAGGUUACCUUAAGUGCAUUCUAUUGGUCUGUGGGAAGGCCAUGAUCGAGAUGAGGAAACAUAGCCUGACAAUAUCUCCCAGGGAAUUACACCCGGAGGUGUGCUAGUUUUGAGUUUAAUUCCUCUGCCCACACACCAAGGACUCGGAACACUUCAAGCAGGACAGUUUUUCUACAGGACAUAAACAACUAUGGGACUGUUGACUUUUGCGCUUGCAGUGCUGGCAGUGGCGGGAGCAAGUAAUUUCAGAAUGCUGCUACGAGUUCAGUUUGGGGGAGAGCAAAAAUACAUAAAGCUGUCUGAGCUGAGAUUUGAUACUUUUUUGAAAGAAGUGUGCCUGAAAUUCAACAUACCAGAAGGCAGGCAGCUAGAUAUGAAGGUUUAUGACCAGUCUGACACAG